CUGUUUGAGAACUGGGCUG
rnacentral:piRNA from 1 species